CAGCUUCCUUUUGUUGCAGGAGUUCUUUUAUAGCAGACAUCUGGUCAGGCCCUGAAGCAGCUACAAUCUCUUUCAUUUGGUUGAUAUGGCUCUCUUUCUCCACAAGAGCUGCCUCCAGUUCUUUCUGGGUGUUGGUAUGUGUGUCCUAGGGCCGCAUUUAAUGAAUAAGAGGACUAAACUCAGGUCACUGGUUAUAUGCUUAGAGCACUCCAGAGUUCAGGUGAUAAAUCACCAAAGUGGGGCAAUCACAAUCUACUGGUAGCAGUGCAAAAGAGAUGCAAGCACAGAGAAGUGGCAAACCAGUUCUGAUGCAUGGCAUGCCAGAAACCGUAUCCAUACCUCGAGGCGGACCUGGAGGGACAUGAGCUGCUGCUCGCGUUCCUGGAGGAGGACGGAGAGAAGGCGCCGUUCCCUCAUCUUGUGCAGCACGCUGACGCUCAGCGUGGCGGCACCGACAGCCAGCAGCAGGAGCAGCAGUGCACCCUCUCACUAGCAUCCUUCCAGGCUCUCCAGCCUUGGCUCUGUUUAUUGCGGACCGGGACGGCAUCUGUGGCCGCAGUGUGAAGAAACUUGGCCUUCUUUUCGGUUGCUUGGAUUCUGGAAAGGAAAAGCUGCUUACUUGCUUAGGAAUGCAGGAUGCUUCUCUUGCCUCAAGGUGAGGCACAUGCUCCUAGGGGUGUGAGGUUUGUCUCUCUCUCUUUGAC